UCUUUCUUGCCCGAGAGAUAGAGAGAGAGAGAAAAUAACCUUACUCAUCGACGGGUCCACGGUGGCUGGAGGGACCAAAUGGUCCAAAGAGCUUCCUCUUGCUCCUUACUCAUCGAAUAUCCUUUUAGUUUGACCUAGAAAUAACCCUACAAGCUUAGAUCUAGAAUAAUACCUUUCAAAAAAACACAACUCCGACGACUUUUAGAUACUUCUCCGAUCAAGUGACAAUGGUGGCUUUGGAUGCUCGAAGAUUGCUCGGCGUUCACUAUUGUGACGGUUGGAGAAGGCUGGCCCUAUUGCAGUGGCGUGUACAGUGGAAUGGGAUGAGUAGCGGCGGUGGAUGUCCUUAGGGUUU